ensembl:lncRNA
AUUGUUAACAUGGCACACACACACAGCUCUCUCCAUACGAUGGCAACAAGAAGAAGCAGAAAAGGGAAUUGCUCUGAAGUUCUUCUGAGACCAGAACACAAGCAGGUUUUAGCAUGGUCUAUUUAAAGGGUACUUUCUUUUAGGAACCCAGGAGAGAUUUAUAACGCAUCAUUCCUGUUUUACUCUUGGGCCUUUGAAAUUUUAUUACGGGAAGAACUGCUCAUCAAUCUCUUACAUCUCAAUGAGCAGGCAAGAAUACUGGAGUGAGUUGCCAUUUCCUCCUCCCAAGGAUCUUCCCAAACCAGAGACCGAACCUGUCUCCUGUGUCUCCUGCAUUAGAGAUGUAUUCUUCACCCGAUGAGCCAUCAGGGAAGCCUCUAACAACUGUAUCUAAAAUAAUUAGAUAUCUUUAUUUGCAAAAGACAGAAACCUAAGUCAAACUAGAUUAAUUAAAAUAAGGGACUUUAGUGAGUGAUGUAAGUAUAAUAAAA